AUUGAACGCUGGCGGCAGGCCUAACACAUGCAAUUCGAACGAGUGGCGGACGGGUGAGUACUUUCUGGAAAACUGCCCGAUGGAGGGGGAUAACUACUAGAAGCGUUAGCUAAUACCGCAUACCAUCUUAUGUGACCAGAUGGGAUUGUCUAGUAGGGGGGGUAACGGCUCACCUAGGCGACGAUCCCUAGCUUGUCUGAGAGGAUGACCAGCAAAACUGGAACUGAGACACGGUCCAGACUCCUACGGGAGUGAGCAGUGGGGAAUAUUGCACAAUGGGCGCAAGCCUGAUGCAGCCAUGCCGCGUGUAUGAAGAAGGCCUUCGGGUUGGAAAGUACUUUCAGCGAGGAGGCGUUACUCGCAGAAGAAGCACCGGCUAACUCCGUGCCAGCAGCCGCGGUAAUAC
rnacentral:rRNA from 1 species